AGUGAACGCUGGCGGUAGGCCUAACACAUGCAAGUCGAACGGCAGCACAGUAAGAGCUUGCUCUUACGGGUGGCGAGUGGCGGACGGGUGAGGAAUACAUCGGAAUCUACUUUUUCGUGGGGGAUAACGUAGGGAAACUUACGCUAAUACCGCAUACGCCCUACGGGUGAAAGCAGGGGAUCUUCGGACCUUGCGCGAUUGAAUGAGCCGAUGUCGGAUUAGCUAGUUGGCGGGGUAAAGGCCCACCAAGGCGACGAUCCGUAGCUGGUCGGAGAGGAUGAUCAGCCACACUGGAACUGAGACACGGUCCAGACUCCUACGGGAGGCAGCAGUGGGGAAUAUUGGACAAUGGGCGCAAGCCUGAUCCAGCCAGACCGCGUGGGUGAAGAAGGCCUUCGGGUUGUAAAGCCCUUUUGUGGGGAAAGAAAAGCAGCAGGUUAAGACCCCGCUGUUCUGACGGUACCCAAAGAAUAAGCACCGGCUAACUUCGUG
rnacentral:rRNA from 1 species